UGGGGAAUUUUGCACAAUGGGGGAAACCCUGAUGCAGCGACGCCGCGUGAUUUAGAAGGCCUUCGGGUUGUAAAAAUCUUUUCUAUGGGAAGAAAAUGACAGUACCAUAGGAAUAAGGACCGGCUAAUUACGUGCCAGCAGCCGCGGUAAUACGUAAGGUCCGAGCGUUGUCCGGAAUCAUUGGGCGUAAAGGGUACGUAGGCGGGUAAGCAAGUUAGAAGUGAAAUCCUAUAGCUCAACUAGAGUAAGCUUUUAAAACUGCUCAUCUUGAGGGAUGGAAGGGAAAGUGGAAUUCCUAGUGUAGCGGGGAAAUGCGCAGAUAUUAGGAGGGAUACCGGUGGCGAAGGCGACUUUCUGGCCAUAACCUGACGCUGGGGGACGAAAGCGUGGGUAGCAAACAGG
rnacentral:rRNA from 1 species